CCUACGGGGGGCAGCAGUGGGGAAUAUUGCACAAUGGGGGAAACCCUGAUGCAGCGACGCCGCGUGAAGGAAGAAGUAUUUCGGUAUGUAAACUUCUAUCAGCAGGGAAGAAAAUGACGGUACCUGACUAAGAAGCCCCGGCUAACUACGUGCCAGCAGCCGCGGUAAUACGUAGGGGGCAAGCGUUAUCCGGAUUUACUGGGUGUAAAGGGAGCGUAGGCGGUUUAGCAAGUCAGAAGUGAAAGCCCGGGGCUCAACUCCGGGACUGCUUUUGAAACUGUUGGACUAGAGUGCAGGAGAGGUAAGUGGAAUUCCUAGUGUAGCGGUGAAAUGCGUAGAUAUUAGGAGGAACACCAGUGGCGAAGGCGGCUUACUGGACUGUAAAUGACGCUGAGGCUCGAAAGCGUGGGGAGCAAACAGGAUUAGAUACCCGUGUAGUC
rnacentral:rRNA from 1 species